UUUGGUUUUCCCUCAUUUUUUUUUUCUGGUUCUCUCUUUCUCCCACGCUUACGUCUCUGCCUCCUCUCCUUUUUUUUUUUUUCUUCGUUCUCCUUCAACCCAAGCCGCUCUUCCCUUCCCUCAACCCACGCCGCCAAAUCCAUCUCCGCUUCACUACUCCCUCUGACCGAGCCACCAUCACAAACACAGCCUCUGCUCUUCUUCCUCUGAGUGAACCCAUACCGAACCCAAAAACUAUUCUUGAAACCCAUAUUGUCAUCUCAAAACCGAAGAUUCAAGGGAGGGGAUUAGGCUUCCAUUUGGGUCAGACUGAAGCUCCAUGGGUCAGGCUUCCAUUUAGGUUUCGUUUUGGGUUAGGGAUUUUGUGGGUCUUGUAUUGCUGUCAGAAGUUUGUCACAAGUUCAUCACCGAUUGGGGCAAAACUUUAGCCGAUUCAACUCCAAACAGAGUUGAAAGAGUGAUACCAGCAAUCUUGCUUCACUCCUCAGGAUAACAGCAUUGAACGUGAAGCACAGCUUCUUCAAUACUAUCACCUCUCUGUUCGGUAACUGGAACAAUUGAUGGAAAAUUUGACAGUGGAUAUCUGGUUACUGUAAACCUGGGUGCCAAUCAACUGAAAGGUGUGGGAGAUUACAAAAUAUUACAAAUUUAUCUGAUUGGUAAUUGAAGAUUGAAGUCUGAUUGGACUGCUCUGCUUUUGUCACUUUGUUUUGUCUUGGGGGAAGCGAAUCAAAAGUUCUUCUCUUUAUAAAAGCUGUGUGGCUCUCUGGAAGCUUAGCUAAGUGUGUGAAGUGUUGGACAAAUGUAUGCUGAGGCUGGUCUUUUGCUCCCUUACUUUCAGAAUUUCUCUCAGGAAGUUCAACAACUUGAGGAGUACUGUAAAACCCAGUUUCUGCACAAUUUAAUUGAGAAGAUAAAUAUGGCCAGCUUUUCUAAAUGUUUCUUUUUUAUUUUUUUCUUUCUUGCUUUGGAUGAAUUUGCAACAGCGACUUUUUGUGCCUGACAAUUUUGGAAGUUCCAUUCUGGAAAACUCACUUUAUUAAAUAUCAAGAGCACGUCCAUUUAUUCCUAGCUCA